UACAAAUGUUUAUUAGAUUAACCACACUUAUACAGACUGUAUAUAACAACCAACUCUAAAAUGUUUGUUCGCAGAGAAAAGACACAGACAGACUACGCUAACGACAUGUGAUGUUACAACACUAGUGAAAUAUUAGUGUCAUUUCAUUCUUUUCAAAGGUUUAUUUGCAUGACGCACAAACAGACACAAUUGAAAGGUACAAAUGUGUUGUGCAUGAAACGAAUUCAAACGUGCUGCAGAUGUGUGUCACAAGUUGAUCUGGCUGUAGGCUGUGGCACUUGGCCAGAGGUGGCGCUGGUUGACUCGACUCCAUGUUCGUGCACACAAAGUAAACUGCUCGCUUUAGUUGUGAAGCAAAAACGCUGAAUUCGGAGAAAUAAACCGUGUGAGGGGAACGAUAACGACGACAAGAGUCUCCCGAUCGUUUACUCUUGGUGUCCUGUGAACAACAUCGGCGUGGUGUUAAUUGUUUGCUGUUUUCGCGAUCGCGUCGCGCGUGAGGAUAUCACCAGCAGCUCCUGAAACGCAAGACUGCCACACAUCUGUUCGACUAACGCCAGUUGAUCUAAACGCCAGUAGAUCUGGAACACAGGUCGUAACCCAGGAUCUUCUGGGCUACGGUGAACAUUUCUUUAACGUUGGGGUAUUUCAAAAGUCCUCUGCCCAUGCCCACAAA